rnacentral:rRNA from 1 species
GACGAACGCUGGCGGCGUGCUUAACACAUGCAAGUCGAACGAAGUGGCGAACGGGUGAGUAACGCGUAAUCAACCUGCCCUUCAGAGGGGGACAACAGUUGGAAACGACUGCUAAUACCGCAUACUUAAGGCGGGGAUUGCGUCGGAUUAGCUAGUUGGAGGGGUAACGGCCCACCAAGGAGAUGAUCAGUAGCCGGUCUGAGAGGAUGAACGGCAACAUUGGGACUGAGACACGGCCCAGACUCCUACGGUAGGAAGCAGUGGGGAAUCUUCCGCAAUGGACGAAAGUCUGACGGAGCAACGCCGCGUGAGUGAUGACGGCCUUCGGGUGGUAAAGCUCUGUUAAUCGGGACGCGGUACCGGAAUAGAAAGCCACGGCUAACGACGUGCCAGCCGCCGCGGUAAUUC